AACGCACCUUGCGCUCCUUGGUAUUCCGAGGAGCAUGCCUGUUUGAGCGUCGUGAAUCUCUCAACCCACAACUUGUUUGUUCAGUUUGUGCGGCUUGGACUUGGAGGUAUUGCUGGCGAUGGUCAGCUCCUCUUAAAUGUAUUAGCUGGGCUUAGCUCGGUGGAACGGUUAGUGUGAUAAUUAUCUGCGCUGCCUACUACAUCGGAUCCCGCUUCUAAUCGUCCGCAAGGACAAUUCACUUUGAAUCUGACCUCAAAUCAGGUAGGACUACCCGCUGAACUUAA
rnacentral:misc_RNA from 1 species